rnacentral:misc_RNA from 1 species
GGGGAAGGGUUCCAUAACAA